GUAUUGAUAAUGAAAGGGGUAGUAGCUUUUUACGUGAUUUUGCUGUUUGUUAUAAUUAUAGUUGUUUAUCCUGCAGAUUCCUUUUUUGAAUACGGUUCUCAUAAAAUGGGAGAGAUUGAGACAUUAAGACACCAUGGUAAAAUACCAGCAUUCCGUUCUAAAUAUACGGUGAAUGUUACACAUAACCGCACUGAUGCUGAGCCCAGCUACACUUAUUUAGGCGUCGUGACAGAGGGAGCCGUUGUUAUCAGUAAUCCCAACGUCGUUUUUGAUCCACAAACAAACAUGUUGACUUUACAUAUAAAAUUUCCUUUGUUUCCGAUGCGAUUCUUUGCAAACGGCUUUUCUAUGCCAUUAAAAUCAGUACUCCGGAUGUCCCCUACAAUAGAAGAAAAUGAAACUCAAGAACUUUUUACUGAUGUUCCACACUUUUGUGUGCUGUGCCCUCAAUGUUGUGUGAGUUAUAAUUUAAAUUACACCCUCAACCAAUCCUAUGUAACACGACCUGCAAACUUACCAUGGAUGCAAUAAAUAUAUGAUCUACUU